GACGAACGCUGGCGGCGUGCUUAACACAUGCAAGUCGAACGGAAAGGCCCUGCUUGCAGGGUACUCGAGUGGCGAACGGGUGAGUAACACGUGGGUGAUCUGCCCUGCACUUCGGGAUAAGCCUGGGAAACUGGGUCUAAUACCGGAUAGUAGCCAUUUUUAGUGUGAUGGUUGGAAAGUUUUUUCGGUGUAGGAUGAGCUCGCGGCCUAUCAGCUUGUUGGUGGGGUAAUGGCCUACCAAGGCGGCGACGGGUAGCCGGCCUGAGAGGGUGGACGGCCACAUUGGGACUGAGAUACGGCCCAGACUCCUACGGGAGGCAGAAGUGGGGAAUAUUGAACAAUGGGCGCAAGCCGGAUGCAGCGACGCCGCGGGGAGGAUGACGGCCUUCGGGUUGUAAACUCCUUUCGCUAGGGACGAAGCUUUUUGUGACGGUACCUAGAGAAGAAGCACCGGCUAACUACGUG
rnacentral:rRNA from 1 species